rnacentral:rRNA from 1 species
UACGGAGGGUGCGAGCGUUGUCCGGAAUCAUUGGGCGUAAAGGGCGCGUAGGUGGCCCGGUCAGUUCGUGGUGAAAGCGCGGGGCUCAACCCUGCGUCGGCCAUGAAUACUGCCGCGGCUGGAGCACUGUAGAGGCAGGCGGAAUUCCGGGUGUAGCGGUGGAAUGGUGUAGAGAUCCGGAAGAACACCGGUGGCGAAGGCGGCCUGCUGGGCAGUUGCUGACACUGAGGCGCGACAGCGUGGGGAGCAACAGG